UGUAGUAUUUAGAAUAAUAAUUUGUACUCGGGACUCUUGACGCCAUCGGGCUCGUUCCAAAACGUCCCACUGGUGGCGCACACGGUGUCCUAUAUUUAUCUUAAUUUUUCGAUUACUAGAUCACUGCUAUUGAUAAUAUUGGCGUUUUAGA
rnacentral:lncRNA from 1 species